rnacentral:pre_miRNA from 1 species
ACUCCGUCUACCCAGUGUUUAGACUAUCUGUUCAGGACUCCCGAAUUGUACAGUAGUCUGCACAUUGGUUAGGCUGGGCU